rnacentral:rRNA from 1 species
CGGACGGGUGAGUAAUGUCUGGGAAACUGCUUGAUGGAGGGGGAUAACUACUGGAAACGGUAGCUAAUACCGCAUAACGUCGCAAGACCAAAGAGGGGGACCUUCGGGCCUCUUGCCAUCGGAUGUGCCCAGAUGGGAUUAGCUAGUAGGUGGGGUAACGGCUCACCUAGGCGACGAUCCCUAGCUGGUCUGAGAGGAUGACCAGCCACACUGGAACUGAGACACGGUCCAG